rnacentral:tRNA from 1 species
AUCAAGAUAGUUAAAAAAUAAUGGGACUUUGAAGAGGUUUAGUUGAGAUAUUAUUCUCUUUUGGUA